CCGAAUUUUCUGGGACGCCCCACCUUUUCUCUUGCCAUUUAUAUAUUUCAGUCUUGUAUACACGCUGACUCUGGAUAAGGCAAUACGGUUAGAUCUCUCUCUCUCUCUAAAUCCGCGUGAGAAGAAUUGGAUCUGCAAAAAGGAAGGUACACGGCAUCACAUCGGUGGUUCCAUGCAUGCGGAUGGCUGAAGAAGUGAAGAGGAGUAUCAGCAGGGAGGCGGCCAGAACGAUGAUUCCAUCUGCAAAGGCUGACCCAACAUGGACUUGAUGCGUGACUAUGGUUAGCGGCUGCGGCGAGAGUGGCAAUCCGGCACCUACGCAUGUGUGGUGAAGACAUGCUCCGACGGCAAUAUCCGCCAUAAUUUCAUGCAAAUCUCGUUGGCAUUGGCACAUCUGUGCCAUGCUCUUGAGUCCGUAAAUUCAUCUAUGAACUGUAUAAUAGUACAAUUUGUAACCAAAUUUGUAACCAUCACGUGUGACAUGUAUAUGUACAUUAUUUUCCGUAUGCCCUCCAAACCACAUUUUGUAGAUACUC